rnacentral:piRNA from 1 species
UAGCCAAGGAGGCUUUGAACACCC